CGAGACCUUCGGGUCUAGUGGCGCACGGGUGCGUAACGCGUGGGAAUCUGCCCUUAGGUACGGAAUAACUCAGAGAAAUUUGUGCUAAUACCGUAUGAUGUCGAAAGACCAAAGAUUUAUCGCCUAAGGAUGAGCCCGCGUAAGAUUAGCUUGUUGGUGAGGUAAAAGCUCACCAAGGCGACGAUCUUUAGCUGGUCUGAGAGGAUGAUCAGCCACACUGGGACUGAGACACGGCCCAGACUCCUACGGGAGGCAGCAGUGGGGAAUAUUGGACAAUGGGCGAAAGCCUGAUCCAGCAAUGCCGCGUGAGUGAUGAAGGCCUUAGGGUUGUAAAGCUCUUUUACCAGGGAUGAUAAUGACAGUACCUGGAGAAUAAGCUCCGGCUAACUCCGUGCCAGCAGCCGCGGUAAUACGGAGGGAGCUAGCGUUGUUCGGAAUUACUGGGCGUAAAGCGUACGUAGGCGGUUAUUCAAGUCAGAGGUGAAAGCCUGGAGCUCAACUCCAG
rnacentral:rRNA from 1 species